ACUCCAAAAACAAACAAAACUCAAACAAAAAAAAUAUUAUUUUAAUUUUAAUUUCAUAAAACUUUUUUUUUUUUUGGGAGAGAGAAGGGGGAGGGGGAGUCUCAAAGAUUUUGCUGGCAAGCCAAAAACCAAAGCUCCCUCCGAUUUGCAGAGAGAAUCCAAAGGACAAACAGGCAGCCUAUAGAGAAACAGAAUACCCAAAAAAGGAAAAAAUUAAACGAAGAAACAACGAGAACGCGAAGAACAGAAACAGCAAAUCCAAAGGAACCAACAAAAACGAAAGAAAAAAAAGAGAGACAAACAGUGUCUUAAUUUUUGACAGAAAAAAAAAAAACCAAUUCCAAUUCCAAUUCUUCUUAGUUAUCCAAUCAGUUGAAUGUGUUAUUAAUCUUGACUGCGUUUUGAAAUUUCCCAUUGUUAAUUUGGGAUUUUUGCCAGUUUGAAAUCGGAAGGGGGGGCAAAAGAGUCAUGGUGGAGAACCGACCCUGCGAGUCGUGUUUGGUGUUUGCAAGCUCUUGUCAACAAGAAACCAAGUCGGGUUACAAGUACAAUGGGAAGCGUCCACUGGAAUUCGCCGAAUCCGAUGGUUGUUGUCGAGAAACCAAGUUGUCUAAGCAAUCUUCCGAUGAUUCCUCCAGCGACGAUAACGAUACUAAUACUUCUUCCCCACAAGAGUCACGUGACCUCCUUCUGCCUGAUUCACGUGAUCAAUCCGACGAUGAUAGUAAGCAAUCUGAUUCUUCUUCGGAUUUGGAUUCUUCACUUAUGCAGUGCUACCCCAUUGGACUAAGCAAAACAGAUCUGAAUAACCAAUCAGAUGAUGACAGCCUGUCGGAUUCUAUGGAGGAAUCACCGGAGGAACGGUCUGAGGAAGACGAUGAUGAUAAUGAUGAUAACGGCUUUUUGGAUUCUCCCGAGGAGGAGGAGGAGAGGGAGGAAGGGGAUGGAUACCAGAGACAUGCUGGUGAUGAUGAUGAUGAUAACAACGGCUUUUUGGAUUCUCCUGAGGAGGAGGAGAGGGAGGAAGUGAAUGGAUACAGGAGGCAUGUUGGUGAUGAUGAUGUUAAUGAUUUUUUGGAUGAUGACGGCUUUUUGGAUUUUCCUGAGGAGGAGGGGGAGGAAGGAAAUGGAUACCGGAGACAUGCUGGUGAUGAUGAUGAUACCGGCUUUUCGGAUUCUCUUGAGGAGGAGGAGGAGGAGGAGGAGGGGGAGGAAGGGGAUGGAUACUGGAGACAUGCUGGUGAUUCCUCGUCAGAUUUGGAUGAGCUAAUCCAACCAAUUGGGAGAGACAACUCCAUCAGUUGUCUAAUUAAGUGCUCAAGGUCUGAUUAUCGUUCCAUUGCCUGUUUGAACCGGAGUUUUCGUUCCCUAAUUAGGAGUGGAGAGAUCUAUAAGUUGAGGAGGCAGAAUAGUGUGAUUGAACAUUGGGUUUACUUUUCUCGUCAACUCCUUCAAUGGGAGGCAUUUGAUCCAAUUCGAGAUAGGUGGAUGAAUUUGCCAAGUAUGCCUCCCAAUGAAUGUUUCAUUUUUUCUGAUAAGGAAUCCUUGGCUGUGGGAACUGAGUUGCUUGUAUUUGGGAAGGAGGUGACUUCUCAGGUGAUAUAUAGAUAUAGUAUUUUGACGAACUCAUGGACUUCUGGGACCAGUAUGAAUGUUCCAAGGUGUUUGUUUGGAUCAGCUAGUCUUGGAGAGAUUGCAAUUUUAGCUGGUGGUUGUGAUUCUUGUGGUAAUAUCCUGAGCUCUGCAGAAAUGUACAAUUCUGAGACUCAGAAAUGGGAGACUCUCCCAAGCAUGAAUAAGCCAAGGAAGAUGUGUAGUGGGGUAUUUAUGGAUAAGAAAUUCUAUGUAAUUGGGGGAAUCAGAGGAGUGGGGAAUGAUGCACAGGUUCUCACUUGUGGUGAGGAGUAUGAUUUAGAGACAAGAAAGUGGACUGAAAUCCCUAACAUGGCUCCUGGAACGAGUGGAUUAUUCAGUCAGCCUGCGGUGCCGGCAGCUGGAGCACCCCCUCUGGUUGCAGUAGUAAAUAAUCAAUUGUAUGCUGCUGAUCAUGCUGACAUGGAGGUAAAGAAGUAUGAUAAGGAGAGCAAAUCAUGGUUGGCUAUUGGAAGAUUGCCUGAUAGAGCAGUUUCAAUGAAUGGUUGGGGUCUUGCAUUCAGAGCAUGUGGAGAUCGCCUUAUAGUGAUUGGUGGACCUGGGGCUUUGGGUGAAGGUUUUAUAGAGGUCAAUUCAUGGGUUCCAAGCGAAGGGCCUCCAGAAUGGAACUUGCUUGCCAGAAGGCGAUCGGGUAACUUUGUGUAUAAUUGUGCUGUGAUGGGAUGCUAAGAGAUGGGUUUUGGUGGCAUCAUGUGCAGUGGAAUGGUGCCGCACUGCCACUGGGGUUUACAUGAUUGGUUUCUCCUUCAACACAGAAUUCUGAUUUCUUGCUAAUGGGUUGGACAAUUUCAGUAUUCUAUUUCAGUGGAUGCUACCGGCCUUGUUCUUCGUAAAUAUACCGUUAGCAUGGCGACAAUCUAUUGUAUGAAACAUCUCUAUGGAGUUAAGAGCAUGCUCUGCAAUGACAGAAAAUCUCAGUGUUCAUGGCUUUAGGAAGACCGCAUGUGUCAAAGAAUAUGUCAUAAAGCGUCUCAUAGUAUCAAGGUUUUCAGCAAAUAUCAAGGUUUCACUUGGUGUUGUGAACCUACAAAGAAGUAAACCAGCAAUAAUAGCAUUAGAUACAGUAUGAUAACUGAUCAACUGCAAAUUUGACAUUUCUCCCAUGAUAUUCUUUUUGGGAGUGGCUGCAAAGGAAGUAUUUUUUAGAUGCUAGGUUUCCAAAAAACUAUUUUAUUUAUCUAUAAAGCAAUAUAUAUGUAUCUAUUCAAGGGAAUCGCGAAACAUUGUUCUUCCUUUACAUAGAGAGUCUCAUAGGAUCUAACUCUUGGCUUUUGUGUGGUUGAUACUAGAUAUAGGAGGUCAUUAUAAUUGUCUGGGCUUACAGGAUGACAUACUUAGUCUCUCUGUAUGCAUGUGUUUGUGUGCUUUCUUUUCUUCUGCUCUAUACUUGGGAAUAUGGCGUAUCUUAUCUAUGUUAGUUUACUUUGAAAACGAGUUUUUUUUUUUUACUGUGCAUAUAUGUUUGGAUAUGUCUUUGAAACCAGAGAACUUAGCUGAGGAAAAUUUUGCAAUGCCUGCUAUCCUGUUUGGCCUGUGUUUUUGUAACAGUUCCCUUUACCAUUUUUUUCCUGCUGUAUAUAAUCCAAUUCACACUCCGAUUUCAAUCAGUCCCGCGAAAUUCUAUUAAAUUCUCUUUCUCCUGUUGCUGUUUUCUGUGUGCUGACACAUACUAAAAUCAGUUGGUGGUCCUGUAUCUUUAGUUAUAAUUUUUCUAUACAAUUUUAUAGUCCUCUUGUCAUCUUUAUAGUUGGGGACUUUUUGUGUUGUGCCUCAAUAGUGUAGGGUUUUCUUUCUUUAUUAGUUGGGAAGAAUAAAAAACAAUCAAAUAUUAUAUUCUAAAAAGAUUACCAAUUAUUUAUAUCUAUGGAAUAGGAAGUAUAUGGACGUUGAAUCGUCCAUUUAAUUAUGAAUAUAGUGAGGCCAUGUAACUACAGGGAUUAUUAAGCAAAUAAUCUGUGUCCAUUUAUUAAAAUCAAGCUGCUGCACAAUAGGGACAAUGUAGAGAAGUUUGGUAAGCAGGAAAAACCACCCCCUUCUGCAAAAUAAGUUACUAUUGAGAAUGAGCUUAUCUGCUUCUGUCUGUAUGCUUCAACCCAUAGUGGUUUUGAAUUUACUCUUUCUUGUCUUUUUCAUUUGCUAGAAUUUAAACUAGCCACUG